rnacentral:rRNA from 1 species
GACCUGCCCACUGAAUAAUUAAAUGGCCGCAGUAUACUAACUGUGCAAAGGUAGCAUAAUCAUUAGUCUUUUAAUUGAAGGCUUGUAUGAAUGGUUGGACGAAAUAUUAACUGUUUCAUAGAAAUUUUUUAUAGAAUUUUAUUUUUUAGUUAAAAAGCUAAAAUAUAUUUAAAAGACGAGAAGACCCUAUAAAUCUUUAUAUUUAUUUUUAUAUUAAAUUUAUAGAUGAUUUUUUUUAAUAUAAUUGAGAAUAUUUUAUUGGGGUGAUAUUAAAAUUUAUAAAACUUUUAAUUUAUAAAUACAUAAAUUAAUGAAUUUUUGAUCCAUUAUUAGUGAUUAAAAAAUUAAGUUACUUUAGGGAUAACAGCGUAAUUUUUUUGGAGAGUUCAAAUUGAUAAAAAAGAUUGCGACCUCGAUGUUGGAUUAAGGUAUAAUUUUGGGUGCAGAAGUUCAAAUUUUAAGUCUGUUCGACUUUUAAAUUCUUACAUGAUCUGAGUUCAGACCGGCGUAAGCCAGGUUGGUUUCUAUCUUUAAAAA